rnacentral:rRNA from 2 species
CAAUGGAGAGUUUGAUCCUGGCUCAGGAUGAACGCUGGCGGUAUGCUUAACACAUGCAAGUCGAACGGAGCUUUUCGGAGCUUAGUGGCGGACGGGUGAGUAACGCGUGAGUAUCUGCCUACAGGACUGGGACAACGACUGGAAACGGUCGCUAAAACCGGAUGUGCCGAGAGGUGAAAUAUUUUAUAGCCUGUAGAUGAGUUUGCGUCUGAUUAGCUAGUUGGUGGGGUAAGGGCCUACCAAGGCGACGAUCAGUAGCUGGUCUGAGAGGACGAUCAGCCACACUGGGACUGAGACACGGCCCAGACUCCUACGGGAGGCAGCAGUGG